AUGUGACACGAUUUCCUAUUUUUUAAAGGCUGCAUAAUAUCCCAUCGUAUGUAUAUACCACAUUUUUCUUCAUUCAUCUGCUGAUAGACACUUGGGUUGUUUUAACCUCUUGGCUAUUGUGAAUAACACUGCAAGAAACAUGAGUGUGCAAACAUCUCUUCAAAAUCUUGCUUUCAAUUCUUUUGGGUAUAUACCGAAAAGCGGGAUUGCUAGAAUAUGGUAAUUUUUUUUUUUUUUUUUUUUUUUUUUGAGAUGGAGUUUCACUCUUGUUGCCCAGGGUGGAGUGCAAUGGCGCAAUCUCGGCUCACUGCAACCUCUGCCUCCCAGGUUCAAGCGAUUCUCUCCUGCCUCAACCACCUGAGUAGCUGGGACUACAGGCAUUCGCCACCACACCUGGCUAACAACCCCAUGAGGCACAGAUCACCCUCAAUCAACAAUGAGUAAACUGAGGAGUAUGUGAAGUUAACCAACUUGUUCAUGAUGAUCAAGCUCGAAGAUGGAAGACCUGGGAUACAGAUACAGACCUUUAUGGGAGCAAAGUUCGUACCUCCAACACCACCACAUCUGCCCUUGCUACAUGAAGGCAAGCAGCCUACUCAACGUGAAUAGGAUGAGGAUGAAGGCCUUUACGAUGAUCCACUUCCAUCUAAUGAAAACAUACUUUUUCUUCCUUAUGAUUUUCUUAGUCACAUUUUCUUUUCUUCAGCUUACUUUAUUGUAAAACUACAGUAUCUAAUAAAUAUAACAUAUAAAGUAUGUGUUACUCAGCUGUUUACACCAUCAGUAAGGCUUCCAGUAAACAGUAGGCUAUUAGCAGUUAAGUUUUUGGGCAAUCAAAAGUUAUACUCAAAUUCUCAACUGGAAGGG